rnacentral:rRNA from 1 species
UACGGAGGGUGCAAACGUUGCUCGGAAUCAUUGGGCGUAAAGCGCACGUAGGCGGCUUUGCAAGUCGGACGUGAAAUCCCUCAGCUCAACUGAGGAAGUGCAUCCGAAACUGCAAGGCUUGAGUACUGAAGAGGAUCGCGGAAUUCCCGGUGUAGAGGUGAAAUUCGUAGAUAUCGGGAGGAACACCAGUGGCGAAGGCGGCGAUCUGGGCAGAUACUGACGCUGAGGUGCGAAAGCGUGGGGAGCAAACAGG